rnacentral:misc_RNA from 1 species
AAAUGCUUCUCGUUUUUGUGAAGAAAAUAAGUAAACGGAUUGAAAGCACGCCCAGCUUGACUUUGAGAUGAUUGAAGACAGUUUUAAAGUUGAAGCGAUUUUGGACUAUGGCGUGGUUGUUAAGAGCACAAACAAAAUUUGAGGAAUAAGGAGGGAGAUAUUUUUUUCGGGAACAUUUAGUAAACCCCCGGUUUUCAAAAUCGAUUAAUCUAGUUGCGACGUCAGUGGGUGAGUCACGUGAAUGCUUGCGUGGUUUGCCGGCCGACGCAGCGCGCAUCACGGGAACAUCUCGCCGUCGCGCCCCGUAUACCCGACCACGCGUUCUCCGCUGCCUCGGUCCGGAGUAUCCAGCCAUUUUCACCAGGCUGUCCGACACUACCAGCACAUCAGCUUCAAGUCCCAGCCACUGAGUGAUUCGGACCGGUGAUCGUCUUAUAAUCCGUUAGUGUCAAAGACUAUUUUGACGGGAAAGAUGGAAGGGUUUUUCUCCGUGGUGAUCAUGUUUUUGUCUCUGGUGGGGUCAAGUCUGGGCAAGUUCACGAACGUGACUGACCGUUGCUGCCCAGACAAUUGUUGCAAUGGGAUCAUGUUCGGUGGUCUGACGGGAAAUGCUCCGGAGAUUUUACCCACGAACUGCAAUGACAUCAGAGAGCUGGGUGGGGGCAAAGAUGGUCUGUACACCAUCUACCCCUCCUAUGUCGAUAACUGUGACGGCAUCAGGGUGUACUGUGACCAACAAACAGACGGUGGCGGAUGGACGGUGAUCCAGCGCCGAAUGAACGGCUGGGUGGACUUUCAACGAGGGUGGGACGAGUACCGUGACGGCUUCGGUUUCCUGACGGGGGAGUUCUGGCUGGGGCUGGAAAUCAUCCACCACAUGAGCAUCCAGGCACCUACAGAGCUGGUCAUCUACAUGGAGGAUUGGCUCAACACCAUUGCACGGGUCCACUACUGGAACUUCUAUGUGUUAGACGAGUCGCUAGGCUACAUGCUGAGCCUCAAGAACUAUGACAUCGGAAGUGACGUCGGUGACGGGCUCUCCCUCCACAACGGCAUGAAGUUCAGCACGUUUGACAGGGACAACGACCGCAGCCUUGAGAACUGCGCCGAGACGCACACGGGGGCCUGGUGGUACAACAACUGUAUGCAGUCCAACCUGAACGGCCGGUACCUGCGGGGCAACAACCCAGCGCAGUCGGGUCAGGGGGUUGUCUGGACACCCUGGACCGGCACCACGUACUCGCUCAAGACUGUAGUCAUGAUGAUGCGCCACGUGGUUUAACAUGGCUUGGUUUGUGGUCCUUGCACUCUGAAAAGUCACGGUAUGAUUUGACCCGAAAUCCGGUUUCUAUUUGGCCUGCCACCUUUCCGUGUCAAAAUGCCACUUUUCCGGGUCAAAGUGCCACUUUUCCGGGUCAAAACGACAUUUUUCGGGUCAAAACGACACUUUUCCAGGUCAAACCGACACUUUUCCAGGUCCAAAUGACGGGUUUCAUUCCGGGUCAAAUGACCCGGAAAAUGAACCACUGGGUCAAAUGACCCGAAAAAUCAGUAGAAUUUUUUUUCUUUUAUCAUUUUGACCCGGAAAAGUGUCAGGCCCAAUAUGUCUCGAAUUCCCGGGUCGAAUCUGCCCGGGGACUUUUUUAGAGUGCAUGGCAACGGCUGUUGUGAGAAGCUAGUCAGGACUCAAACGGUCAGGACUAUCUUUCAAUUCAAUGUUAUUCAUUAUGUAUAAACAUUAAACUGUGGUACUGCGGCAGUUUUCUGUACAAAUCCAUCUGACAGAUUUGAGAGUCUUUGGUUGGAAAAGCCACUUUCUGUAGAUCAUAUACCGAUUGUAUUAUUAUUAUGUUAUAUGAAUUCAAAAACUUGUAUACGUCAUGAUAAUUUUUUUAGCAAUUAAUAAAACAAAAUUGACGUGACCCUGACCAAUUUCGUCAUUUAUUCCUCAAUCUGGGACUUCAUGUACAAAUAAUGAAGUAUGUUGCCACUAAAAAUACAUGUUAAUUAGAUUAAAAGCGAAAGAUGACUCACCAAACAUACCGGUAGUUUCUCCCAGCAAUCAUCAAUCCUGUUUUAUGCUUUUAUUUCUUCGAGAAAACAUCUGGUUGAAAACCCGUUGAAGACACCUGUUCAAGAAAGUAACAAUAUGAGAUUUGCAUUCGCAUAAGACAAAAGAGUACCAAAUAACCAAAAGUAGCGUCGAUUAAAAUAGCAGCUUAUUUUUUUUUGUGUCCUAAGACUUGUUGUCAAUACAAUAAUUAAAUGUCCAGCAGUCCUUUUUAAAAAAUUUAUAUAAGAAAAGAUUUUAUAAAGCGACAGUUAGACUGCAUAUCGUUAUUGUGUACACUGUAAAAACGUUGGGUAAAAUACUGUUGGGCAAUGUAAUUUACCCGAUAUUGGUAUGAUAUUACCUCAUAUUGGGUUGAAUUGGGUAAAAACUAUCAAAUUAUUGGGACCAGCACUGGUCGAAUUAUCAACCCAUUUUGCCCAACUUUUUUUUACAGUGUAGCGCUUAGAUAAUACGACUUAUUGAUGUCAUUAUUCAAAACAAAAUGGUAGAAAAAAUUGGUCGAAUUUUCUGUUCAAACAAAUUGACAAAAUAUUAUGGGAAAGGUCGGAUAGUUAGAAAUUUAGAUAUUGAAUUUGUAAAACCAAGUCAAUUUUUGAAUUCUCCGCAAAAACAGAGUGUUAAAUUGGUUGUUUUGUGCUAUGCCCAAUGAAGAUCAUGGGUAUAGAGAUUUUAUGUGAGAGGCCUGAAGCGGCCUGGAAAAUAGAAAGAGGCAGAUAUAAUUCUUUAGCCACAUCACAUUAAAUUUUGUAUUGUUUUCGAUAUAUUUUGUUUAAGUUAUUUUUAAUUUGUGUUAUAGUCUCUGUGUAACUAAGAAAGGCCCAGAACGUGUUUAUGAGCCUCAAUGUGUAAUGUGAUUUUGAUUUGAAAUACAAUCAUUUAACGCUUAACAUUUUCCUAGAAUAUGAGGUUUUAUAACUAUUAUUUUUUUAAAUAUAUUUUAUUAUCACUUACUUCGAACAACAAGACCUAUUCACCGGUAUUCGCCCCGUGACUUUUUUUUAUUCAACUCAUACAACGCGGCAACAGAGGGCGCUAUUUAGAUGAUUGACUGAUCAUGACAAACGUUAAAUCCGUGAUGCAUCAUAAAAGAGGCAUGAUUGAUAAAGGUCAAAGUGCAAAUUGGUUGCCAUCGAGACACAUUUUUUUGAGAGGGGGUAAAAGUCAGUGAAUGAAGUUUUUACUAUAUUAUUCGAAAGAUUUUUCGAACAAUGGUUUUCAAAUAAAUUACGUCAUUGGGAAAAUA